CCUGGCGGCCUUAGCGCGGUGGUCCCACCUGACCCCAUGCCGAACUCAGAAGUGAAACGCCGUAGCGCCGAUGGUAGUG
rnacentral:rRNA from 1 species